GUGCCAGCAGCCGCGGUAAUACGGAGGGUGCAAGCGUUAAUCGGAAUUACUGGGCGUAAAGCGCGCGUAGGCGGCUAUAUAAGUCGGAUGUGAAAGCCCUGGGCUCAACCUGGGAACUGCAUUCGAUACUGUAUAGCUAGAGUUUGGUAGAGGGAAGUGGAAUUCCACAUGUAGCGGUGAAAUGCGUAGAUAUGUGGAGGAACACCAGUGGCGAAGGCGACUUCCUGGACCAGAACUGACGCUGAGGUGCGAAAGCGUGGGUAGCAAACAGGAUUAGAUACCCUGGUAGUCCACGCCGUAAACGAUGUCAACUAGCCGUUGGGGGAAUUUGUCCCUUAGUGGCGCAGCUAACGCGAUAAGUUGACCGCCUGGGGAGUACGGCCGCAAGGUUAAAACUCAAAGGAAUUGGCGG
rnacentral:rRNA from 1 species